UAGCAAUCUAACUGAAUGACAUUAUACUGUACGUAACACUACAGAGAUAUACUUCCCAGACUAGGUGCACUGACAGUGUACUGUAGGUAACACUACAGAGAUAUACUUCCCAGACUAGGUGCACUGACAGUGUACUGUAGGUAACACUACAGAGAUAUACUUCCCAGACUAGGUGCACUGACCGUGUACUGUAGGUAACACUACAGAGAUAUACUUCCCAGACUAGGUGCACUGACAGUGUACUGUAGGUAACACUACAGAGAUAUACUUCCCAGACUAGGUGCACUGACAGUGUACUGUAGGUAACACUACAGAGAUAUACUUCCCAGACUAGGUGCACUGACAGUGUACUGUAGGUAACACUACAGAGAUAUACUUCCCAGACUAGGUGCACUGACAGUGUACUGUAGGUAACACUACAGAGAUAUACUUCCCAGACUAGGUGCACUGACCGUGGUGUGUAGGUAACACUACAGAGAUAUACUUCCCAGACUAGGUGCACUGACCGUGUACUGUAGGUAACACUACAGAGAUAUACUUCCCAGACUAGGUGCACUGACAGUGUACUGUAGGUAACACUACAGAGAUAUACUUCCCAGACUAGGUGCACUGACCGUGGUGUGUAGGUAACACUACAGAGAUAUACUUC